rnacentral:rRNA from 1 species
AGGAAUGUAUAGCGAAAGCUACUUGCAUUUAGCUUAGUUNAAGCUAAGUUUAUGCAGGAUUGACUAUGUCGAAUAAAGUUCUAGGUGGGUUAUGAUGAUGACAUUUCCUAUCUAUGUGUCUUGACCAAAUUACGUGCCAGCAGUCGCGGUAACACGUAAAAGACUAGUGUUAUUCAUCUUUAAUAGGUUUAAAGGGUACCUAGACGGUAAAUCAAGUCCAAGAAGGGUACUAAUUUGCUAGAGUUUAAUGUGAGGGGGCACUAAAGUACUGAUAAGUGUAGAGAUGAAAUUCUGUGAUACAAUAUAUGGCACUGGCAAAGGCGAAAGCAUCUCAUUAUGUAAUAACUGACGUUGAGGGACGAAGGCUAGGUGUAGCAAAAAGGAUUAGAUACCCAAGUAGUCUUAGCAGAAAAUUAUGAAUGUCAUAGGAUGGAAAGUUGGAUGGAUAAACAACAAAACUUUUUCUAUAAAUGAAAGUGUAAGCAUUCCACCUCGAGAGUAAUUUGGCAACAUUGGAACUGAAAUCAUUAGACCGUUUCUGAAACAAG